CGCUGUGCUGGGUAACCGGUGCAGUGAUUCAGCAGAAGUCAGCAAAAGUCAGCAGAUGGCAUAGUAGCCACAUGCCCAUCGUAAUGGUUGGGACACGGCGACGGCC
rfam:Betaproteobacteria bacterium MOLA814 MOLA814_Contig3, whole genome shotgun sequence.